GAUGAACGCUAGCGGCAGGCUUAACACAUGCAAGUCGAGGGGUAUUGGUUUUCGGACCAAGAGACCGGCGCACGGGUGCGUAACGCGUAUGCAAUCUACCUUUUGCAGAGGGAUAGCCCCAGAGAAAUUUGGAUUAAUACCUCAUAGUAUAGUACUUUGGCAUCAAGGAACUAUUAAAGUCACAACGGCAAAAGAUGAGCAUGCGUCCCAUUAGCUAGUUGGUAAGGUAACGGCUUACCAAGGCUACGAUGGGUAGGGUCCUGAGAGGGAGAUCCCCCCANACUGGUACUGAGACACGGACCAGACUCCUACGGGAGGCAGCAGUGAGGAAUAUUGGACAAUGGGCGCAAGCCUGAUCCAGCCAUGCCGCGUGCAGGAUGACGGUCCUAUGGAUUGUAAACUGCUUUUGUACAGGAAGAAACACUACUUCGUGAAGUAGCUUGACGGUACUGUAAGAAUAAGGAUCGGCUAAACUCCGUGCCAGCAGCCG
rnacentral:rRNA from 1 species